rnacentral:rRNA from 1 species
UACAGAGGUCCCAGCAGUUGUUCGGUAUUCAUUGGGCGUAAAGGGUGCGUAGGCGGCUGGGUAAGUUUGAUGUGAAAUCCUGGGGCUCAACCCUGGAACUGCAUUGAAUACUGCUCGGCUAGAGUACUGGAGAGGAAACUGGAAUUUACGGUGUAGCAGUGAAAUGCGUAGAUAUCGUAAGGAAGACCAGUGGCGAAGGCGAGUUUCUGGACAGUUACUGACGCUGAGGCACGAAGGCCAGGGGAGCAAACGGG